AUCCUGUCGACGAGUCCCAAAUUUGGACGAAACGCGCUUCCUGGAU
rnacentral:hammerhead_ribozyme from 1 species